GCCUUCGUGGUGUAGUGGUCAGCACACUGAGCCGGUAUUUCAGAGGUCCGCGGUUCGAUUCCCGGCGAAGGAA
rnacentral:tRNA from 1 species